rnacentral:rRNA from 1 species
UGGCGGCGUGCUUAACACAUGCAAGUCGAACGAUGAAGCCUGUAACUUGUUGUGGGUGGAUUAGUGGCGAACGGGUGAGUAAUACGUGAGUAACCUGCCCUCCUUUUUGGGAUAAGCCUUGGAAACGGGGUCUAAUACCGGAUAUUCUGGCAUGCUCGCAUGGGUGUGUUGGGAAAGCUUUAUGUGAAGGGGGAUGGGCUCGCGGCCUAUCAGCUUGUUGGUGGGGUGAUGGCCUACCAAGGCGGUGACGGGUAGCCGGCCUGAGAGGGUGACCGGCCACAUUGGGACUGAGAUACGGCCCAGACUCCUACGGGAGGCAGCAGUGGGGGAUAUUGCACAAUGGGCGAAAGCCUGAUGCAGCGACGCCGCGUGGGGGAUGAAGGCUUUCGGGUUGUAAACCUCUUUCGCUAUCGAACAAGGCUCAUUUUUUGGUGGGUUGAGGGUAGGUGGAGAAGAAGCGCCGGCUAACUACGUGCCAGCAG